AGAGUUUGAUCCUGGCUCAGGACGAACGCUGGCGGCGUGCCUAAUACAUGCAAGUAGAACGCUGAAGGAGGAGCUUGCUUCUCUGGAUGAGUUGCGAACGGGUGAGUAACGCGUAGGUAACCUGCCUGGUAGCGGGGGAUAACUAUUGGAAACGAUAGCUAAUACCGCAUAAGAGUGGAUGUUGCAUGACAUUUGCUUAAAAGGUGCACUUGCAUCACUACCAGAUGGACCUGCGUUGUAUUAGCUAGUUGGUGGGGUAAGGGCUCACCAAGGCGACGAUACAUAGCCGACCUGAGAGGGUGAUCGGCCACACUGGGACUGAGACACGGCCCAGACUCCUACGGGAGGCAGCAGUAGGGAAUCUUCGGCAAUGGACGGAAGUCUGACCGAGCAACGCCGCGUGAGUGAAGAAGGUUUUCGGAUCGUAAAGCUCUGUUGUAAGAGAAGAACGAGUGUGAGAGUGGAAAGUUCACACUGUGACGGUAUCUUACCAGAAAGGGACGGCUAACUACGUGCCAGCAGCCGCGGUAAUACGUAGGUCCCGAGCGUUGUCCGGAUUUAUUGGGCGUAAAGCGAGCGCAGGCGGUUAGAUAAGUCUGAAGUUAAAGGCUGUGGCUUAACCAUAGUAGGCUUUGGAAACUGUUUAACUUGAGUGCAAGAGGGGAGAGUGGAAUUCCAUGUGUAGCGGUGAAAUGCGUAGAUAUAUGGAGGAACACCGGUGGCGAAAGCGGCUCUCUGGCUUGUAACUGACGCUGAGGCUCGAAAGCGUGGGGAGCAAACAGGAUUAGAUACCCUGGUAGUCCACGCUGUAAACGAUGAGUGCUAGGUGUUAGACCCUUUCCGGGGUUUAGUGCCGUAGCUAACGCAUUAAGCACUCCGCCUGGGGAGUACGACCGCAAGGUUGAAAAAAUUGCAGUCCCAGCUCCCUCAAUCCGAUAAAUGAGGUGACACUGCUUGUUUGCCUUGUCAAUAGACGAAAUUGAAAUAGGACGACGUAAGAGAUGGGCAUCGUCCGGUACACGCAGAUGAAGAAAUUNNNNNNNNNNNNNNNNCGAUCGAAAAAAUUUCUUAUUGACAAAAUCAAGUAUCUCUAGUAAUAUAGAAUAUGCGAUGAGUCGAUAGGUAGUCUUCGGACUACUAUUGAGCAUAAGGAGGUCAUAACGCAGGAGCGGACCUUGAUGAGUUGUGUGAACCUGCUCAUCACAUGAAGAUGCCUCUUAAUCCCUAGUCUAGCGAUUGGGGAUUUUUAUUUUCCAAAAAAUGAUGAAAAAGCUUUGCAAUUCAUGGAAAAAGUAGUAUAAUACUUCUAUUAUAGAAAUUUUUAGAAAAUUCCGAAAGAGGUUAUUUAUGGGAUAUACAGUUGCUGUAGUCGGCGCGACAGGUGCUGUCGGUGCUCAGAUGAUAAAAAUGUUGGAAGAAUCAACACUUCCAAUCGAUAAAAUCCGUUACCUUGCUUCUGCACGUUCAGCAGGUAAGUCAUUGAAAUUUAAAGAUCAAGAUAUUACGAUUGAAGAAACGACUGAAACAGCUUUUGAAGGAGUUGAUAUUGCUCUCUUUUCAGCAGGUGGUUCGACAUCAGCUAAGUAUGCACCAUAC
rnacentral:rRNA from 1 species